rnacentral:other from 1 species
AUAUUCCUGAGGUGUUCGAAAGCUCUAUUAUUUUCAACCUACAUUUUGACAUCGGGAGUUCGAGUUUUUAAAGCAACGCUAAGCCAUCUUUAGAAUGGAAAGCGAACCUUUAAAGCAGAGCACCCACCUGUGAGUAGAGCAGGGUCUUGAAAAUUUUGGGGCACCGGCAUCCUGGGUGCAAU